GACGAACGCUGGCGGCGUGCUUAACACAUGCAAGUCGAACGGUGAUGGGUGCUUGCACCUUGAUCAGUGGCGAACGGGUGAGUAACACGUGAGCAACCUGCCCCCGACUCUGGGAUAACCCCGGGAAACUGGAGCUAAUACUGGAUAUGAGACGUACAGGCAUCUGUCGCGUCUGGAAAGAAUUUCGGUCGGGGAUGGGGUCGCGGUCUAUCAGCUUGUUGGUGGGGUAAUGGCCUACCAAGGCGACGACGGGUAGCCGGCCUGAGAGGGCGACCGGCCACACUGGAACUGAGACACGGACCAGACUCCUACGGGAGGCAGCAGUGGGGAAUAUUGCACAAUGGGCGCAAGCCUGAUGCAGCGACGCCGCGUGAGGGAUGACGGCCUUCGGGUUGUAAACCUCUUUCAGCAGGGAAGAAGCGCAAGUGACGGUACCUGCAGAAGAAGCGCCGGCUAACUACGUGCCAGCAGCCGCGGUAA
rnacentral:rRNA from 1 species